GGAACUAAACAUGAUGUGAUAAAAUAGUUUGACAUAAGAGUUAGAGCAAUAAGCUAAAGAUAGCUUUGGUAGAAUAGUAUAAAAGUUAGAGCAAUAGGCAAUAAAGGGAUUUGCUGCAUGAAGAUGCUCUGAGUCUGUGCCUUUCAUACACCACAAAUGGCGCCCGAACAGGGACCUGAACGCGGCAACUAGAGCGACCGGUGGAGAGCCCAGCCGAACGAAACGCAGAGGCAGCGGAGACAGAGAGCUGCCAUCUGGACAACUAAUCACCGGGAACAGAUACAUGGAACCGUGGGAGGGAAGUUAUCCCGAGAUCAGCAAUGCAGUCUGGAAGAAUGCACCGCCUGCUUGAAACUCAGCAUCGGCCCAUAUCGGGUCCGCAACUUGUGACUUUGUUAGAAUGGGUCCGUGAUAAAGUGCCUGACUUUCCAGCUGGCGGCACUUUCCAAAUCCCCGCUUGGGAAGCUGUUGGUAAAUGGCUGCAUGACGCUGCUUUAAACGGGGACCUCACAGCAGGGAAGCAUUUGGCAACCUGGUGGCAGAUCGUGGCCACUCUUCGCCAGGUAUAGACCAGCGCUGCCUCUGAUGCCGUCAUGUCUAAGGAAGCUACUGAUGCUCGUGAGGAGGUAAAAUCUCCUGAAGCCUCACCACCAGCUGCUCCCCCCCCAUGCCCCCUUCUGUCUCCUCAUCUGCGCCUCCUUUGUCGUCGCAGUCCUCACCGCUGAUCAUGACGAUCCCCGCAGCACAAGCGCCCCUGUCAGGAGCGGCUGAGUCGGGUGAUGACCCUGAUAACCCUGAUGAUCCUAACGACCCUACGGACCCCUUUGAUCCUGGUUUUGUAGAUCCGGAGAAGGAGCCAGACUUGUUUCCUCCUCCUGCUGAGUUGCAGACAUUUAUAGGGAAGCAGGGGUGGAGUCCGGAGGACCGAUGGCAGGACUGCAGGCAGGAAGCCCUUAAGCGAGGGGACAUGGGGGUAGUGGUGGCGUGCCCAGUUUUGUCUGUCGGCCACACCAGGCUCCCUCAAAGACAUGUUCACUUAAAAAAAAGAGGGGGAACCGGGAUCAAGACUCCCCACAAGAUAAACUAUGGAAAACCCCAUUCAUCUUGAACUUUUUAAAUCGUAAUGGCUAGCUCAGUCGGUAGAGCAGUCGGGGGGCCUUGCACAUUUGGAAGGCUCUCCUUCUUUCAUCCCAACAACUCAGCCAUAACAACGUGGAAGUUACGCCACAUCUUCAUAUGCACCUUUGUGUUAAAAUAAUUAAAAACUUAUUAAAAUUGAUUAUUCCAUAUGCUAUAUGGAAAUACAAUUAUUAAAUUGCUAUAUGAAUAGACACAGUGAGAGCAAGGGCCGUGCACGCGUGUGCAUGUGUGCGAGCACUUGCACAUGCAUCUGUGUGAUGUAACAAACAUACAUUGUGCAUAAUGCGUAAUGGAUAUUAAACACAGACCUUUAUAAUGGUAAAAUAUGUAAUUACAGACACAUGAAUAUAAACCUAGAAUAUUAAAGCCUGUUAAGCAUGCUGUAUGAAUAUAUAUUUAUAUUAUUUAUAGCUAUAUAUGCAACAGUAUAUAGACAUCUAGAUACACAGAGUGUGCAGGCAUAUGGAUGUAUUAUGGCAAAUUGUGUGCAUAAUACACAGCAUUUAUCAUAAAAACCUCCUUUAAAACAAUAAAAGCUUUAAAAAUAUAUAUUUUAAAGCCAUAUUCAAUUAGUAAAUUCUAAUGAUAUGGGGUGUGGUGUGUAUUAUAGCAAAUAUAGUGUGUGUGUAUAAAAAAAUAUAGUCAUAGUAAAUGCUGCUAAAUGCAUGCUAUGACAGUGUAAUUACCCAAUUUAAACCGAUAUGGAUCUACAGCUAUGUAGAGAGCUCUAUGUGCAUCUAUGUGUCUGUGUGUGUCUCUUAGAACAAAUACACUUUGUGUCUCAUUAAAGCCAGCAUUUAUAUUGAUAAAAUCUAUUAUAUGUAUUGAUAAAUAUAAAGAUCACCUUUAACAAUAAAUACUACUAAAUAUGGUUUAUGAAAAUAGAAUUUUAAAAUGUUUUUCAAUAGCCACAUUUUUUUAAAUGUUGGCACAUAAGUAAGUGUGUUGAAAUAUAUCAAUUCACUUUUAUAUAUUAUAUAGAUAAAACUAAUGAGCAGGUGCAUAUACAUGGAGGGGCUGAGCAAGAGCGUGAUUGUGUCUGUGUUAUUUAAACAUGGGUGCAAAGAUUUUAAUGGAAUGUGUUAUAUGAAUCUAAGCGACCACUCAGAAUAGAUUCAUAAGAGUAUCCAGAAAUUGAAAGAUUUCAACAAAGACUUGCAGCUAAAACAGGGGUGGGACGCUUUUGGUCUGUUUUCAUGGCUCGGGAAUUUUGGACUGUGGGUCAAAAAUAUCGCAGGGUUUUUUUCAAUAGCUCUAAUUGCUGUAUUAAUGAUUGCCUUAUGUCUUCCUUGUCUUUUUUCUUGUGUUCAACGAUCAAUCGAAUGAAGUAUGAAUCAGGCUAUGGUCACACAGUUAUACGUGAACCUUGCCCUUCCACAGAGAAAAAAGAAGGGGGAGAUGUAGGAGAGGAUGGAAACUAUUUGAUUAUUGCCAAAGACAAGUAACUGCUUGGCUGAAGAAGAAAGAGUUAAAGAAGAAACAAAGUGCAUUGUGCAAUCAAGCAGAGGGACCCAGCUGGGCAGAAGUAGGAGAACAGAAAGAUAAGGAACUGGUUAUUCUGGGACUGUUUGUGAAACGAUGAAGAAUGUUGGAAAGAACAAAACUGUAAACCAGGAACUAAACAUGAUAUGAUAAAAUAGUUUGGCAUAAGAGUUAGAGCAAUAGACUAAAGAUAGCUUUGCCAGAACGGUAUAAAAGAGCAACAGGCAAUAAAGGGAUUUGCUGCAUGAAGA